UAUGGCAACUCGUUCAAAGGCACACAGCUAAGGGUCAGCAGCAACACACUGCACUCCUGACUCCUGCUCUGAUACUUGCCUCACUGGAACCGUCAUCCCCUCUCAUGUGGCAAAUGCAGCUGGGUAUGUGGUCAGUGCAACCUGUACUUCUACAGCCACCAGCCUGCAGGCUGGACCCCAUUAGAGUGAGGAACGGAACCCCUGCUAGCCAGCCUCAGGUGACAAAACUGAGGCUCAGAGGCCAAUGGCCUUGUUCAAGGUCACACGCCCACUAAAUGAGAGACCCGGAGACCUGGCAUCACACGCUAACUAAGAAUACUGGAAGGAGAUAAGAUUGGGACUGAAAGACCUGGAUUGAAUGAUUUUUAUCAAGUCACUUCCCUUCCUUGGAUCUCCAUUUACUCAUCAAUAAACUAAGCAGAUUGGAUUAAAUGUUCUGUAAGGUGCCUUCUAGGUGAGGAAGAAGUUGGGAUAAGUCAUAAGGAAGCACCCCAAUGAACAUCUCCUGCCUCUAUGGUUUUUCUGACAUCCAUCAACAUCUGUCAGAAUUUGAAAAUGUGACUGCUUUUAGGCACUGUGCUUAGUGCUGGAGAUUCCGUGUUGAAGCUCACAGUCUGGGGCAGAGAUGGAAACAGACACAAAUAACUAUAAUACAAUGUGGAAGAAACUGGCCCAUCCUCAAAGAGAGGGGAAGGUCAGUCCAAUGAGUUUGGUUUGCUGAGCCCCACUCAGGAAUUCAUGGAGAAAUCAAGUUCCAUGUGGCUUCCAUUGCACCUUCCAGAAAAGAGUCAGAAAAUACACCCAGGAGACCAUGCCAGAGAGGAAGGUGUAAGAUUCUGGAAACUGCAGCCUCCUACAUUUGGUACCUGCCACUUUCACUUCAGUUUCUGACAGCAAUCAGC
rnacentral:lncRNA from 1 species